rnacentral:rRNA from 1 species
GAUUGAUUUUGGUCGCCAACGAGUGGCGGACGGGUGAGUACCACGUAGGUAACCUGCCCAAAAGCGGGGGACAACUUUUGGAAACAAAUGCUAAUACCGCAUAACACCGUUGUUCGCAUGAACAACGCUUAAAAGAUGGCUUCUCGCUAUCACUUCUGGAUGGACCUGCGGUGCAUUAGCUUGUUGGUGGGGUAAUGGCCUACCAAGGCGAUGAUGCAUAGCCAAGUUGAAAGACUGAUCGGCCACAAUGGGACUGAAACACGGCCCAUACUCCUACGGGAGGCACCAUUAGGGAAUCUUCCACAAUGGGCGCAACCCUGAUGGAGCAACACCGCGUGAGUGAAAAAGGGUUUCGGCUCGUAAAGCUCUGUUGUUAAAAAAAAACACUUAUGAAAUUAACUGUUCAUACUUUGACGGUAUUUAACCAAAAAUUCACGGCUAACUACUUGCCACCACCCGCGGUAAUACGUAGGUGGCAAGCGUUAUCCGGAUUUAUUGGGCGUAAAGAGAGUGCAGGCGGUUUUCUAAUUCUGAUGUGAAAGCCUUCGGCUUAACCGGAGAAGUGCAUCGGAAACUGGAUAACUUGAUUGCACAAGAGGGUAGUGGAACUCCAUGUGUAGCGGUGGAA